rnacentral:tRNA from 1 species
GGCCGUGUGGUGAAACUGGUAGACGUGGAAGCCUUAAAAGCUUCUGUCGAAAGACGUGCCGGUUCGAGUCCGGCCACGGCCA